UGUUUAGAAGAGAUGCAUUUAUUAGAUAAAAAACCAAUGCAUGCUUUUAUAGUAUGAAUGUUGGUGAUUUACAAUAACUUAGCAAAUCGCAUAGUGUAAACAGGCGAUAAAUCAUUCAAGUUUCUGACCUAUCAGCUUUCGACGGUAUGGUAUUGGCUUACCGUGGCAGUGACGGUUAACGGGGGAUUAGGGUUCGAUUCCGGAGAGGGAGCCUGAGAAACGGCUACCACAUCUAAGGAAGGCAGCAGGCGCGCAAAUUACCCAAUUCUAACAGCAUAAGAGAGGUAGUGACAAGAAAUAACAGUACAAGGCAGUUAAAAUGCUUUGUAAUUGGAAUGAUGGAAAUUUAAACACUUUUUAGAGUAUCAAUUGGAGGGCAAGUCUGGUGCCAGCAGCCGCGGUAAUUCCAGCUCCAAUAGCGUAUAUUAAAAUUGUUGCAGUUAAAAAGCUCGUAGUUGAAUUUCUGUUAAAAAUAACCGGUCUGCUUUUAAUAAAAGCAUUAUCUUGGUGUGUUUUUAGCAAUAAUGUCCUUUGAAAUGUUUUUUACUUUAUUGUAAUAAAUUAUAUUCAGGAUUUUUACUUUGAGAAAAUUAGAGUGUUUCUAGCAGGCUAAUGCUUUGAAUA
rnacentral:rRNA from 1 species